CAGAAUGGGUCACUUCGCCCUUUCUCGGUCCGUGACUUGGAUCAGUUUGCCUCUGUCCGUGUCCCACACACCGCAUGGGCUUAUGUGAAGUUGGAGACAACACUUACUGUGACCCCAAAAUGAUUGUCGGUGGUGAACUCUGAAAUGGCAAUGCUAAUCAACCCAGCUGUGGGAGACCCAGGACAUUGAAAAGAGCAGGGAGUAAGGAGGAUAACAACCAAUGUCAGUCUUCCUCAGCCCAGAGACUUGAGGGACAAAGAGAAUGCAAGACAACU